rnacentral:rRNA from 1 species
GACGAACGCUGGCGGCGUGCCUAAUACAUGCAAGUAGGACGCAGUUGCGAACGGGUGAGUAACGCGUAGGUAACUGCCUAUUAGUGGGGGAUAACUAUUGGAAACGAUAGCUAAUACCGCAUACUAGUAGAUGGACCUGCUUUGUAUUAGCUAGUCGGUUGGGUAAUGGCCUACCUAGGCAACGAUACAUAUCCGACCUUGGAGGUGGAUCGGCCACACUGGGACUGAGACACGGCCCAGACUCCUACGGGAGGCAGCAGUAGGGAAUCUUCGGCAAUGGGGGGAACCCUGACCGAGCAACGCCGCGUGAGUGAAGAAGGUUUUCGGAUCGUAAAGCUCUGUUGUUAAGGAAGCGUUACUUAACCAGAAAGGGACGGCUAAAUACGGGCCAGCAGCCGCGGUAAUUC